CGGAGCUGUUCCUAUUUGGCCAUCUUGGCUCCUCUCUAACUCUUUUUAAUUCUGUGAAGUGUGAGAGAGGUGGAGAAGCUGCAGAAAAAAGGUUUGAAGCUAGUAGAGAUUGGUUCUUGAAGCUUGCGGAAAGAAGCCAUCUCCAUAACGUAAAAGUUCAAGAUGAUGCAGCAAGUACAAUGUAAAAGCUACAGCAUUCUCCAAAAGAUCUAGCUGAGGUCAUUAGUGAAGGUGGCUACACUGAAUGACAGAUUUUCAAUGUAGAUGAAACAGCCUUCUAUUGGAAGAAGAUGCCGUCUAGGACUUUCAUAGCUAGAAAGGAGAAGUCAAUGCCUGGCUUCAAAGAACAGGCUGACUCUUGUUAGUGGCUAAUGUAGCUGGUAACUUUAAGUUGAAGCCAAUGCUCAUUUACUAUUCUGAAAAUCCUAGGAUCCUUAAGAAUUAUGCAAUAUUUACUCUGCUCAUGCUCUGUAAAUGGAAGAACGAAGCCCAGAUGACCACACAUUUGUUUACAGCAUGAUUUACUGAAUAUUUUAAGCUUGUUGUUGAGACCUACUCUCAGAAAAAAGAUUUUUUGUUUUCAAAAGAUUACUGCUCAUUGACAAAUUCACCUGGUCACUCAAGAACUCUGAUGGAGAUGUACAGGUAUGUGAAUGUUGUUUUUAUGCCUGCAGACACUACAUGCAUUCUGCAACCCAUGAAUCAAGGAAUAAUUUUAACUUUCAAGUCUUAUUAUUUAAGAAUUAAAUUUUGUAAGGCUGUGGGUGCCAUAGAUAUUGUUUCCUCUGAUAGUUCUGGGCAAAGUAAAUUGAAAACUUCUAGAAAGGAUUCAGCAUUCUAGAUUUGUGAUUUAUGGGAGAAGGUCCAAAUAUUGACCUUAACAGGAGUUUGGAAGAAGUUGGUUUUAACAUUUAUGGUUGACUUUGAGGAGUUUAAAACUUCAGUGGAGAAAGUCCCUGCAGAUGUGGUGAAAAUAGCAGAACAAGAAUUAAAACUGGAGCCUGAAAAUGUGACUGAAUUGCUACAAUCUCAUAAUAAAAUCUGAAUGGACAAAGAAUUUCUUCUAGUGGAUGAGCAAAGAAACUAAUUGCCUGAGAUGGAAAGUACUCCUGGCGAGGAUGCUGUGAACAUUGUUGGAAAGACAACUAAGGAUUGAGAGAAUUACAUGAACUUAGUUGAUGAAGUAGCAGCAGGGUUUGAGACGACUGACUCCAAUUUUGAAAGAAAUGCUACUGUGGGUAAAAUGCUAUCAAACAGCAUCUCAUGCUACAGAGAAAGCUUUCAUGAAAGAGAGUCAAUCAAGUUGGCAAAUUUCCUUGCUGUCUUAAGAAAUUGCCACAGCCUUUAGCACCUACCACCCUGAUUAGUCAGCAGCCAACCACAUUGAGGCAAGACCCUUCAACCAGCAAAAAGAUUGCGACUCACUGAAGGCUCAGGAUUUCCAGCUCCUAGAAGACAGAAAUCAUGUUGUUCAUCUUUUGCAUCCUUCCCAGAAUCUAGUGGAGCACUGAGCAUCAUGUGAGUAGUCAAUAAACAAUUGUUGAGUCAUGUUGCAUUGAAUUAAAAAUCUCCACUUUCCCGG
rnacentral:lncRNA from 10 species